rnacentral:rRNA from 1 species
GAUGAACGCUGGCGGCGUGCCUAAUACAUGCAAGUCGAGCGAACGGACGAGAAGCUUGCUUCUCUGAUGUUAGCGGCGGACGGGUGAGUAACACGUGGAUAACCUACCUAUAAGACUGGGAUAACUUCGGGAAACCGGAGCUAAUACCGGAUAAUAUUUUGAACCGCAUGGUUCAAAAGUGAAAGACGGUCUUGCUGUCACUUAUAGAUGGAUCCGCGCUGCAUUAGCUAGUUGGUAAGGUAACGGCUUACCAAGGCAACGAUGCAUAGCCGACCUGAGAGGGUGAUCGGCCACACUGGAACUGAGACCCGGUCCAGACUCCUACGGGAGGAAGCAGUAGGGAAUCUUCCGCAAUGGGCGAAAGCCUGACGGAGCAACGCCGCGUGAGUGAUGAAGGUCUUCGGAUCGUAAAACUCUGUUAUUAGGGAAGAACAUAUGUGUAAGUAACUGUGCACAUCUUGACGGUACCUAAUCAGAAAGCCACGGCUAACUACGUG